rnacentral:rRNA from 1 species
AGUCUCGGGAAGCAGCAGUAGGGAAUAUUGCUCAAUGGGGGAAACCCUGAAGCAGCAACGCCGCGUGGAGGAUAAAGGUUUUAGGAUUGUAAACUCCUUUUGUUAGAGAAGAUUAUGACGAUAUCUAACGAAUAAGCACCGGCUAACUCCGUGCCAGCAGCCGCGGUAAUACGGAGGGUGCAAGCGUUACUCGGAAUCACUGGGCGUAAAGAGCGCGUAGGCGGGAUAGCAAGUCAGAUGUGAAAUCCUAUGGCUUAACCAUAGAACUGCAUUUGAAACUGUUAUUCUAGAGUAUGGGAGAGGUA